AACACUGUUAACCUGCGGUACCUGCGGAAGGAUCAUUACCGAGUGCGGGUCCUUUGGGCCCAACCUCCCAUCCGUGUCUAUCGUACCCUGUUGCUUCGGCGGGCCCGCCGCUUGUCGGCCGCCGGGGGGGCGCCUCUGCCCCCCGGGCCCGUGCCCGCCGGAGACCCCAACACGAACACUGUCUGAAAGCGUGCAGUCUGAGUUGAUUGAAUGCAAUCAGUUAAAACUUUCAACAAUGGA
rnacentral:misc_RNA from 1 species